CGUACACGGUGGAUGCCUUGGCAGUCAGAGGCGAUGAAAGACGUAGUAACUUGCGAUAAGCCCAGAUUAGGUAGUAACAACCAUUUGAGUCUGGGAUUUCUGAAUGGGGAAACCCACGUGCAUAAGCACGUAUCCUUACCUGAAUACAUAGGGUAAGGAGGCGAACCGGGGGAACUGAAACAUCUAAGUACCCCGAGGAAAAGAAAUCAACCGAGAUUCCGAAAGUAGCGGCGAGCGAAAUUGGACUAGCCCUUAAGCUUUACACGCGUUAGACGAACGGUCUGGAAAGUCCGACGAUACAGGGUGAUAGUCCCGUAGUUGACGACGUGUGUUCAGUGAAAUCGAGUAGGGCGGGACACGUGAUAUCCUGUCUGAAUAUGGGGGGACCAUCCUCCAAGGCUAAAUACUACUGACUGACCGAUAGUGAACCAGUACCGUGAGGGAAAGGCGAAAAGAACCCCUGUGAGGGGAGUGAAAUAGAACCUGAAACCGUGUACGUACAAGCAGUAGGAGCAGGCUUUGUCCUGUGACUGCGUACCUUUUGUAUAAUGGGUCAGCGACUUAUAUUCAGUGGCAAGGUUAACCAUCUAGGGGAGCCGUAGGGAAACCGAGUCUUAACUGGGCGUUCAGUCUCUGGAUAUAGACCCGAAACCAGGUGAUCUAGCCAUGGGCAGGUUGAAGGUUGAGUAACAUCAACUGGAGGACCGAACCGACUAAUGUUGAAAAAUUAGCGGAUGACUUGUGGCUAGGGGUGAAAGGCCAAUCAAACCUGGAGAUAGCUGGUUCUCCCCGAAAGCUAUUUAGGUAGCGCCUCGGACGAAUACUACUGGGGGUAGAGCACUGUUAAGGCUAGGGGGUCAUCCCGACUUACCAACCCUUUGCAAACUCCGAAUACCAGUAAGUACUAUCCGGGAGACACACGGCGGGUGCUAACGUCCGUCGUGGAGAGGGAAACAACCCAGACCGCCAGCUAAGGUCCCAAAUUACUACUAAGUGGGAAACGAUGUGGGAAGGCUCAGACAGCCAGGAUGUUGGCUUAGAAGCAGCCAUCAUUUAAAGAAAGCGUAAUAGCUCACUGGUCGAGUCGGCCUGCGCGGAAGAUGUAACGGGGCUAAGUAGUAAACCGAAGCUGCGGCAAUGUGCUUUUGCACAUUGGGUAGGGGAGCGUUCUGUAAGCGGUUGAAGGUGUGUGGUAACGCAUGCUGGACGUAUCAGAAGUGCGAAUGCUGACAUGAGUAACGAUAAAGGGGGUGAAAAACCUCCUCGCCGGAAGACCAAGGGUUCCUGUCCAACGUUAAUCGGGGCAGGGUAAGUCGACCCCUAAGGCGAGGCCGAAAGGCGUAGUCGAUGGGAAACGGGUUAAUAUUCCCGUACUUCUUACAAUUGCGAUGGGGGGACGGAGAAGGCUAGGUGGGCCUGGCGACGGUUGUCCAGGUUCAAGUGYGUAGGCUURAGAGUUAGGUAAAUCCGGCUCUUUUUAAGGCUGAGACACGACGUCGAGCAYCUACGGRKGUGAAGUCAUUGAUGCCAUGCUUCCAGGAAAAGCCUCUAAGCUUCAGAUUGUAAGGAAUCGUACCCCAAACCGACACAGGUGGUCGGGUAGAGAAUACCAAGGCGCUUGAGAGAACUCGGGUGAAGGAACUAGGC
rnacentral:rRNA from 1 species